GAUGAACGCUGGCGGCGUGCCUAAUAUAUGCAAGUCGAGCGAACAGACGAGGAGCUUGCUCCUCUGACGUUAGCGGCGGACGGGUGAGUAACACGUGGAUAACCUACCUAUAAGACUGGGAUAACUUUGGGAAACCGGAGCUAAUACCGGAUAAUAUAUUGAACCGCAUGGUUCAAUAGUGAAAGACGGUUUUGCUGUCACUUAUAGAUGGAUCCGCGCCGCAUUAGCUAGUUGGUAAGGUAACGGCUUACCAAGGCAACGAUGCGUAGCCGACCUGAGAGGGUGAUCGGCCACACUGGAACUGAGACACGGUCCAGACUCCUACGGGAGGCAGCAGUAGGGAAUCUUCCGCAAUGGGCGAAAGCUUGACGGAGCAACGCCGCGUGAGUGAUGAAGGUCUUCGGAUCGUAAAACUCUGUUAUUAGGGAAGAACAAAUGUGUAAGUAACUAUGCACGUCUUGACGGUACCUAAUCAGAAAGCCACGGCUAACUACGUG
rnacentral:rRNA from 1 species